GAAAGACCUUGUCGUUAACUCUCGCCAAAUUUCGCUCACCGUCAAGCUAGCAAGUGAAAUAAAACAUGGCUAUAAAUCCAGAACCGUGAUGGUACUAAUUUUUUUACAACAGGUACUAUUUUUUUCAAUAGGAGUGCUAAUUUUUGGUAUGGUCAAAUUAUUUUUUCGUGCCCAUUUUUUUUUGAGGCCGCUAGCUUGAUGCACACUUCAUCCGGUACAAAACUUAAAACAACAGGCCUGAGUGUGCCCAGUUGGGCGGGAACCUCGUCUCAGGGCGACGUCUGAGAGAAAAAUAUUUGAAAGAAAUCUU